rnacentral:tRNA from 1 species
GUCUAUGUAGUAUAUUAAUUACACUGGUCUUGUAAACCAGAAAAGGGAGAGACUCCCUCCCCAAAGACU